rnacentral:misc_RNA from 1 species
GAUGAAGAACGCAGCGAAAUGCGAUACGUAAUGUGAAUUGCAGAAUUCAGUGAAUCAUCGAGUCUUUGAACGCACAUUGCGCCCCCUGGUAUUCCGGGGGGCAUGCCUGUCCGAGUGUCAUUGCUGCCCUCAAGCACGGCUUGUGUGUUGGGCCUCCGUCCUCCUCCCGGGGGACGGGCCCGAAAGGCAGCGGCGGCACCGCGUCCGGUCCUCGAGCGUAUGGGGCUUCGUCACCCGCUCUUGUAGGCCCGGCCGGCGCUUGCCGACACAUCAAUCUUUUUUCCAGGUUGACCUCGGAUCAGGUAGGGAUACCCGCUGAACUUAAGCAUAUCAAUAAGCGGAGGA